rnacentral:rRNA from 1 species
UACAGAGGUCCCAAGCGUUGUUCGGAUUCACUGGGCGUAAAGGGUGCGUAGGUGGUGAGGUAAGUCGGAUGUGAAAGCUCGGAGCUCAACUCCGAAAUGGCAUUGGAAACUACCUUGCUCGAGGGAUGGAGGGGGGACUGGGAAUUCUCGGUGUAGCAGUGAAAUGCGUAGAUAUCGAGAGGAACACCAGUGGCGAAGGCGAGUCCC